rnacentral:rRNA from 1 species
AUUGAACGCUGGCGGCAUGCUUUACACAUGCAAGUCGAACGGUAACAGGUCUUCGGAUGCUGACGAGUGGCGAACGGGUGAGUAAUGUAUCGGAACGUGCCCAGUAGUGGGGGGAUAACUACUCGAAAGAGUGGCUAAUACCGCAUGAGAACUGAGGUUGAAAGUGGGGGAUCGCAAGGCCUCACGCUACUGGAGCGGCCGAUAUCAGAUUAGGUAGUUGGUGGGGUAAAGGCCUACCAAGCCUGCGAUCUGUAGCUGGUCUGAGAGGACGACCAGCCACACUGGGACUGAGACACGGCCCAGACUCCUACGGGAGGCAGCAGUGGGGAAUUUUGGACAAUGGGCGCAAGCCUGAUCCAGCAAUGCCGCGUGCAAGGACGAAGGCCUUCGGGUUGUAAACUGCUUUUGUACUAGAACGAAAAGCCUCUUCUAAUACAGGGGGUGCAUGACGGUACUAGUAAGAAUAAGCAACCGGCUAACCUACGUGCCAGCAGCCGG